UAGUCAUAUGCUUGUCCUAAAGAUUAAGCCAUGCAUGUCCAAGUAUAAACCUUUAUACGGUGAAACUGCGAAUGGCUCAUUAUAUCAGUUAUAAUUUACAUGAUGAUGACUUGCUACAUGGAUAACCGUGGUAAUUCUAGAGCUAAUACAUGCAAAGGGCCCGCGAGGGUGGCAUUUAUUAGAUGGAACCAGCGAAAGAUGGUGAAUCAUGAUAACUGAGCGGAUCGCAUGGCCUCGAGCUGGCGACGCUUCAUUCAAAUUUCUGCCCUAUCAACUUUGGAUGGUAGGAUAGAGGCCUACCAUGGUGGUGACGGGUGACGGGGAAUUGGGGUUCGAUUCCGGAGAGGGAGCCUGAGAGAUGGCUACCACUUCCAAGGAAGGCAGCAGGCGCGCAAAUUACCCAAUCCCGACACGGGGAGGUAGUGACAGUAAAUAACGAUGCGGGGCCAUAUGGUCUUGCAAUUGGAAUGAGAGGAAUGUAAAUGCGUUAGCGAGUAACGAUU
rnacentral:rRNA from 1 species